rnacentral:rRNA from 1 species
AAGUCGAACGGCAGCGCGUGAGCAAAUCCUGGCGGCGAGUGGCGAACGGGUGAGUAAUACAUCGGAACGUGUCCUGUAGUGGGGGAUAGCCCGGCGAAAGCCGGAUUAAUACCGCAUACGAUCUACGGAUGAAAGCGGGGGAUCGCAAGACCUCGCGCUAUAGGGGCGGCCGAUGGCGGAUUAGCUAGUUGGUGGGGUAAAGGCCCACCAAGGCGACGAUCCGUAGCUGGUCUGAGAGGACGACCAGCCACACUGGGACUGAGACACGGCCCAGACUCCUACGGGAGGCAGCAGUGGGGAAUUUUGGACAAUGGGCGCAAGCCUGAUCCAGCAAUGCCGCGUGUGUGAAGAAGGCCUUCGGGUUGUAAAGCACUUUUGUCCGGAAAGAAAUCCUCUGGGUUAAUACCCCGGGGGGAUGACGGUACCGGAAGAAUAAGCACCGGCUAACUACGUGCCAGCAGCCGCGGUAAUACGUAGGGUGCGAGCGUUUAUCGGAAUUACUGGGCGUAAAGCGUGCGCAGGCGGUGA